UAGGGAAUCUUCGGCAAUGGGGGGAACCCUGACCGAGCAACGCCGCGUGAGUGAAGAAGGUUUUCGGAUCGUAAAGCUCUGUUGUAAGAGAAGAACGAGUGUGAGAGUGGAAAGUUCACACUGUGACGGUAUCUUACCAGAAAGGGACGGCUAACUACGUGCCAGCAGCCGCGGUAAUACGUAGGUCCCGAGCGUUGUCCGGAUUUAUUGGGCGUAAAGCGAGCGCAGGCGGUUAGAUAAGUCUGAAGUUAAAGGCUGUGGCUUAACCAUAGUAGGCUUUGGAAACUGUUUAACUUGAGUGCAAGAGGGGAGAGUGGAAUUCCAUGUGUAGCGGUGAAAUGCGUAGAUAUAUGGAGGAACACCGGUGGCGAAAGCGGCUCUCUGGCUUGUAACUGACGCUGAGGCUCGAAAGCGUGGGGAGCAAACAGGAUUAGAUACCCUGGUAGUCCACGCUGUAAACGAUGAGUGCUAGGUGUUAGACCCUUUCCGGGGUUUAGUGCCGUAGCUAACGCAUUAAGCACUCCGCCUGGGGAGUACGACCGCAAGGUUG
rnacentral:rRNA from 1 species